rnacentral:rRNA from 1 species
UACGGGGGGGGGCAAGUGUUGUUCGGAAUUACUGGGCGUAAAGCGCGUGUAGGCGGGUCGGCAAGUCAGGCGUGAAAUCCCCAGGCUCAACCUGGGAACUGCGCUUGAAACUGCCGGUCUUGAGUGUCGGAGAGGGUGGCGGAAUUCCUGGUGUAGAGGUGAAAUUCGUAGAUAUCAGGAGGAACACCGGUGGCGAAGGCGGCCACCUGGACGACAACUGACGCUGAGACGCGAAAAGCGUGGGGAGCAAACAGG